ncrna:unclassified sequences Twister-sister ribozyme sequence
AAAGCCCGCAAGGCCGACGGCAUCCGCCGCCGCUGGUGCAAGUCCAGCCGCCUAUAUGGCGGGCGCUCAUGGGCAAGAA